rnacentral:rRNA from 1 species
UACGUAGGAUGCAAGCGUUGUCCGGAAUUACUGGGCGUAAAGCGCGCGCAGGCGGUCUUCCAAGUCAGUGGUGAAAGCCCGGAGCUCAACUCCGGAACUGCCAUUGAAACUGUUGGACUUGAGUACGAGAGAGGUGAGUGGAAUUCCCAGUGUAGAGGUGAAAUUCGUAGAUAUUGGGAAGAACACCGGUGGCGAAGGCGGCUCACUGGCUCGUAACUGACGCUCAGGCGCGACAGCGUGGGGAUCAAACAGG